rnacentral:rRNA from 1 species
AACGUACGCUGGCGGCACGCCUAACACAUGCAAGUCGAACGAAGUAGCAAUACUUAGUGGCAGACGGGUGAGUAACAUGUAGGUAUCUGCCCUUUGGCCUGGAAUAACACGAGGAAACUUGUGCUAAUACCGGAUAAGUCUUUACGGAGAAAGCUUUAUGCACCAUUGGAUGAGCCUGCACUUGAUUAGUUUGUUGGUGGGGUAAUGGCCUACCAAGACUGUGAUCAAUAGCUGAUUUGAGAGGAUGAUCAGCCACAUUGGGACUGAGACACGGCCCAAACUCCUACGGGAGGCAGCAGUGGGGAAUCUUGCACAAUGGAGGAAACUCUGAUGCAGCGAUGCCGCGUGAGUGAAGAAGGCCCUUGGGUUGUAAAGCUCUUUCGUCGGGGAAGAAAAUGACUGUACCCGAAUAAGAAGGUCCGGCUAACUUCGUGCCAGCAGCCGCGGUAAUACGAAGGGACCUAGCGUAGUUCGGAAUUACUGGGCUUAAAGAGUUCGUAGGUGGUUGAAAAAGUUAGUGGUGAAAUCCCAGAGCUUAACUCUGGAACUGCCAUUAAAACUUUUCAGCUAGAGUAUGAUAGAGGAAAGCAGAAUUUCUAGUGUAGAGGUGAAAUUCGUAGAUAUUAGAAAGAAUACCAAUUGCGAAGGCAGCUUUCUGGAUCAUUACUGACACUGAGGAACGAAAGCAUGGGUAGCGAAGAGGAUUAGAUACCCUCGUAGUCCAUGCCGUAAACGAUGUGUGUUAGACGUUGGAAAUUUAUUUUCAGUGUCGCAGGGAAACCGAUAAACACACCGCCUGGGGAGUACGACCGCAAGGUUAAAACUCAAAUGAAUUGACGGGGACCCGCACAAGUAGUGGAGCAUGUGGUUUAAUUCGAAGAUACGCGCAGAACCUUACCAACACUUGACAUGUUCGUCGCGACUCUAAGAGAUUAGAGUUUUCGGUUCGGCCGGACGAAACACAGGUGCUGCAUGGCUGUCGUCAGCUCGUGUCGUGAGAUGUUGGGUUAAGUCCCGCAACGAGCGCAACCCUCACUUUUAGUUGCCAUCAUUAAGUUGGGCACUCUGAAAGAACUGCCAGUGAUAAGCUGGAGGAAGGUGGGGAUGACGUCAAGUCCUCAUGGCCCUUACGUGUUGGGCUACACGCGUGCUACAAUGGUAUCUACAACAGGAAGCAAGACUGCGAAGUUAAGCAAAUCCCUAAAAGAUACCUCAGUUCGGAUUGCACUCUGCAACUCGAGUGCAUGAAGCUGGAAUUACUAGUAAUCGUGGAUCAGCGUGCCACGGUGAAUGCGUUCCCGGGUCU